UUGCCCAUUGCGUCAAAUGCAUCAAACAUUGGCCAUGGUUUAGCAAGAAAUAUUUUUUCAGAAUGUUUUUAUUUUUCUUUUUCAUAUAACAAUUUAACAAAGUAAAUGGCAUUGUACACGAUUUUAUUCGGCAUAAGUAUAUUUCUGAUAGCUUUAGUGAUGACUAUUAUAAAGAAGAUGUAUUUCCAUUGGAAGCAGGAGCACAAAAUCGAAAGAAUGGCUCUCACAACAGUUGACAGGCCUGCAGUGAGUGUGACAAUCAGUACGGAGAAGUGCUGGCUGCGGUGUCGGAGGUACGCGGAGGGGAUCGCCGUGUAUGACGUCAUCAGCAAGAGCGACAUCAGUCUCCCCGGCACGCCACAACCCGACAACUUGAGCACUUGACCAGUUCCAGGAGCGUCAAGACAGCCACAAACAGUCGUUUAAUUUAAAAAAAAUUACGACCACAAGUGAAGUCAAAAUUAGUUUCUUGAAAACUGGAAGCAAAUAAAAAACUUGUGGCUGUCUAGACAAUUCCAUUAAUUUAUUACGGCAACAUUUUGUACCGAAUUUAUAUAACUAUUUUAAAAUCA